UAAACGAUGAGUACUAAGUGUCGGGUAAAACUGGUACUGAAGUUAACACAUUAAGUACUCCGCCUGAGUAGUACGUACGCAAGUAUGAAACUUAAAGGAAUUGACGGGACUCCGCACAAGCGGUGGAUCAUGUUGUUUAAUUCGAAGAUACACGAAAAACCUUACCAGGUCUUGACAUUUUCUUGCGAAGUUAUAGAAAUAUAAUGGAGGUUAUCAGGAAAACAGGUGGUGCAUGGUUGUCGUCAGCUCGUGUCGUGAGAUGUUAGGUUAAGUCCUAAAACGAGCGCAACCCUUGUCGUUAAUUGCCAGCAUGUAAUGAUGGGGACUUUAACGAGACUGCCAAUGAAAAAUUGGAGGAAGGUGGGGAUUACGUCAAAUCAUCAUGCCCCUUAUGAUCUGGGCUACAAACGUGAUACAAUGGUUGAUACAAAGAGUAGCUGAAACGCGAGUUCUUAACCAAUCUCAAAAAAUCAAUCUCAGUUCGGAUUGAAGUCUGCAACUCGACUUCAUGAAGUUGGAAUCGCUAGUAAUCGCGAAUCAGCA
rnacentral:rRNA from 1 species